rnacentral:rRNA from 1 species
UACAGAGGUGGCAAGCGUUGUUCGGAAUUACUGGGCGUAAAGGGCGCGUAGGCGGUCUUGUAAGUCGUGUGUGAAAUCCCUCGGCUUAACUGAGGAACUGCACGGGAUACUGCGAGACUUGAGAUCGGGAGAGGGAAGCGGAAUUCCGGGUGUAGCGGUGAAAUGCGUAGAUAUCCGGAGGAACACCGGUGGCGAAGGCGGCUUCCUGGACCGACACUGACGCUGAGGCGCGAAAGCUAGGGGAGCAAACGGG